CGUGUAGGCGGCCGUACAGGUCCGGUGUGAAAACUCGAGGCUCAACCUCGAGAGGUCAUCGGAAACCGUACGGCUAGAGUCCGGAAGAGGAGAGUGGAAUUCCUGGUGUAGCGGUGAAAUGCGCAGAUAUCAGGAAGAACACCCAUGGCGAAGGCAGCUCUCUGGGACGGUACUGACGCUGAGACGCGAAAGCGUGGGAGCGAACA
rnacentral:rRNA from 1 species